rnacentral:rRNA from 1 species
AGUGAACGCUGGCGGCGUGCUUAACACAUGCAAGUCGAACGAGAACGGGUUAUAGCUUGCUAUAAUUGUCAGCUAAGUGGCGCACGGGUGAGUAAUGUAUAGGUAAUAUGCCUCUUACUAAGGGAUAACAAAUGGAAACGUUUGCUAAUACCUUAUACUCCUUAUUAACAGAAGUUAAUAAGGGAAAGAUUUAUUGGUAAGAGAUUAGCCUGUAUUGUAUCAGUUAGUUGGUGGGGUAAUGGCUUACCAAGACUAUGACACAUAACUGGUUUGAGAGGAUGAUCAGUCACACUGGAACUGAGACACGGUCCAGACUCCUACGGGAGGCAGCAGUGGGGAAUAUUGCACAAUGGACGAAAGUCUGAUGCAGCAACGCCGCGUGGAGGAUGACACAUUUCGGUGCGUAAACUCCUUUUAUAUGAGAAGAUAAUGACGGUAUUAUAUGAAUAAGCACCGGCCAAUUCCGUGCCAGCCGCCGCUGUAACAC